GAGCGGUGACUGACCUGGACCAAAGUUUGCCUCUCAGCCUUGGGCAGGUUCUUGGCCUGGCGGUCAGCCUCCUCCCACUCCUUCCUCACCUGCCGCCAUGAGGAGAAAAGACUCAAGAUCAACAAUAAGACAAGCUUCACAGCUGAGCACUCCUGUAUAGACGAAUUCCCAAACUGCCUCUUUGAGUUUGAGUAUUUUAGCGGGUGCGGUACAUCCUCCAGCUCACCCUCUCCAUGCGGUUGCGGUGCCUGAUCUCUAGCUGCUCCUUGGCCUUCUGGAAGCGACUGUGCUCCUUGUCAUCUGCUGGCGUCUCAAAGUAGAUGUCCACGUCGUCGGCGGGCUGAGGUGUCGGGAGCGUGGCUGCCGAACCAAAACAUCCACGAAACCAAUAUGAACAAAAAACGGGAUUGGAAAUAAAGUGCAGUGAACCCAUG